rnacentral:tRNA from 1 species
CAGGGAAUGGUUUAAUUUAAGAAUCUUAGCUUUGGGAGCUAAGGGUGGGAGUUGAAGUCUCCCUUCUUUGA